rnacentral:rRNA from 1 species
AGUAACGCGUGAGAAUCUGCCCAUUUGUGGGGGAUAACCCGGGGAAACUCGGGCUAAUACCGCAUACGCCCUACGGGGUAAAGCAGGGGACCUUCGGGCCUUGCGCUGAUGGAUGAGCUCGCGUCGGAUUAGCUUGUUGGUGAGGUAAAGGCUCACCAAGGCGACGAUCCGUAGCUGGUCUGAGAGGAUGAUCAGCCACACCGGGACUGAGACACGGCCCGGACUCCUACGGGAGGCAGCAGUGGGGAAUCUUGGACAAUGGGGGCAACCCUGAUCCAGCCAUGCCGCGUGUGUGAAGAAGGCCUUCGGGUUGUAAAGCACUUUCAGCAGGGAGGAAGGCUUACCCCUAAUACGGGUGAGUACUUGACGUUACCUGCAGAAGAAGCACCGGCUAAUUUCGUGCCAGCAGCCGCGGUAAUACGAAAGGUGCAAGCGUUAAUCGGAAUUACUGGGCGUAAAGCGCGCGUAGGCGGUGUGUUAAGUCAGAUGUGAAAGCCCCGGGCUCAACCUUGGAAUUGCAUCCGAUACUGGCACGCUAGAGUGCAGUAGAGGGAGGUGGAAUUUCCGGUGUAGCGGUGAAAUGCGUAGAGAUCGGAAGGAACACCAGUGGCGAAGGCGGCCUCCUGGACUGACACUGACGCUGAGGUGCGAAAGCGUGGGGAGCAAACAGGAUUAGAUAC